rnacentral:rRNA from 1 species
CGAGUGGCGAACGGGUGAGUAACGCGUGAGGAACCUGCCUCAAAGAGGGGGACAACAGUUGGAAACGACUGCUAAUACCGCAUAAGCCCACAGCUCGGCAUCGAGCAGAGGGAAAAGGAGUGAUCCGCUUUGAGAUGGCCUCGCGUCCGAUUAGCUGGUUGGUGAGGUAACGGCCCACCAAGGCGACGAUCGGUAGCCGGACUGAGAGGUUGAACGGCCACAUUGGGACUGAGACACGGCCCAGACUCCUACGGGAGGCAGCAGUGGGGAAUAUUGCACAAUGGGGGAAACCCUGAUGCAGCGACGCCGCGUGGAGGAAGAAGGUCUUCGGAUUGUAAACUCCUGUUGUUGAGGAAGAUAAUGACGGUACUCAACAAGGAAGUGACGGCUAACUACGUGCCAGCAGCCGCGGUAAAACGUAGGUCACAAGCGUUGUCCGGAAUUACUGGGUGUAAAGGGAGCGCAGGCGGGAAAGCAAGUUGGAAGUGAAAUCCAUGGGCUCAACCCAUGAACUGCUUUCAAAACUGUUUUUCUUGAGUAGUGCAGAGGUAGGCGGAAUUCCCGGUGUAGCGGUGGAAUGCGUAGAUAUCGGGAGGAACACCAGUGGCGAAGGCGGCCU